rnacentral:lncRNA from 1 species
CUUGCAAUUAAUUAUGUGUUCAUUUCGUGUUCCUUGUUUGGAAUUAUUUCAUCAAAAGUCAAAACAAUGCAUGCCAUAUAUAGCCAUGUUACUUUUCAAAAUGUGAAUUUCAAUCCAUUGUAUCCCUAUUUGCAUUUCAAUUCAUUCUUAGCCACAAAUACGUUUCAGGGCAAUUCAAAUAUUUAUGAAAAUUGAAAUUCAAGGUAAUGGCAGGGAAAACUAUAAUUUGCCAAAGCAUACAUGGAAUGUGUAAUGAUAGGAAACAAUUCUAAAGAAAAUCGAGAUCGUUUCAUUUUAAUGUACCCCUGUUUCAAUUUACAAUUCAUGAAGUUGAGAAAAUACUUUCUGUUUUUGUGUGUUAUCAACAUAUGAAACUUUUCUAUUAUGUAUAUGUCCUUUCUCUUAUGCAGUUAUCCAUUUCAUCGUAACUACCUUCUGAACAAAAUGGAGGGGGAUUUGAAUUCAUUUUGAUUUUCAAAAUAAAAUCCUCGGUAACUUUAAUUACC